GAUAAAAGGAGAGUAGGCUUGACUUCAUGAAGCCUUUCUUUAUGAUUUUUCUACCUUACUGCCUAACAUUGUUAAGCUACUCCUGCUUAAAAUAGACAGGGCUUGUUCCAGUUGCAAAGACUGUGGAGAACCAGCGGUGGCAUCUGCUGUUUUCAUAACAGCCCAAAGAAGAUUCCAUGUCUCUGAAUGGCUGCCUACCCCCAUGGCAAAACAGCAAAGACGUAAUGUGAGAAACAGCUCUGCUGAAAAUAACUUCAGUUAUCAUCACUGGAGCGUGUGGAUUCAUUCCCACCACAGUCAAGGAACUGAUUUCACAGACAGGAUAUAUCCUGUUUAAAGAAUAAGAAAUUUGGAAUACUGGACUGUUAGCCUGAUGUGCACUUCUCGAAGCUCAUGAGUUAGUGUUUCCAGGGUUUUGCUGAAUUCAAUACUAAAAUAGAAACUCCUGGAUCCAAAGAAGAACGUGUUUCCAAAUGCUGGCCAAGUUUGGUAAUGUUCCUACUUAGAAAACUGAUGUAGACCCAGACUUCUGUUCUGGAAGCUGCUCACUGUCGAGUGGAAGGGUGCAAGAUUUAUCUGAACCACAGAGUUAAAAUGCUGCUCUGGUACAGCUCUCGGCAAAUGCAUUGCCUACAUCUUCCUAGACUUGCAUUGGUAUCAUUAGGACACUUAAAUAUUUAAUGGAACCUUUUGAUGAAAAAAGGCAUUGGUAUAUAAGAAAAAGUGGACAUGCUGAAAAACAUUUAAAUAAAAUGAAUGACUGUGAGCAGAAAAAAAGUAUUCAUCAUGCCAAAGUGACACCAGUUGAAAUUGAAAAUUAUUUAAAAUAUAUCUGGUGGGAAGAAAACUGCUGCAGGUUUUUGCAAUGUGAAAUGUGACACAGAAUGAGCUGGUACUGGGAAUCCCUCAGAAAGAAGCCACUUCAUAACUGGGGAGCAGAUGCAUUUCUGCCUUGCAUAUUCUGGCAGACACAUUCAGGUUUGCUGCUCCAGGCAUGUACAGAAGGUUUCCGGAUGUCAAAAGACUGAGUCUUACAUCAUUACUUUGCAAAAAAAGAAAAAUGGAUAAUAUGGCCUGGGGCAGAAAAGGCACAGGCAGGAAGUUACAGAGCCACUGAAAAAGAAGCAUGGAACAUGGUGCUGUCAGCAACCAGCUGUAAAACAUGGAAUUUUUUAAUUCCUAAAGUGCCAUCCUCAGUGGAGUCUGCUACAGUGGGCUGUUAAUUCACAAGCAGCAGAGGCAAAAAGCUGCCUCCUUCCUUCUCUCUUGAGAGUGUGCAUUGUAGUUUUCCUGAUGGAGCUAAUCGCAAUCUUCCCAUGAAUGAUACUUUAAUGAAGAGUUUCACAUAAAGUUUUUCUUAAGCAAAGCAAAACUCAAGACUUAGGUUUGGUGAAAGCAUGAGUACCUCCAUGUGGAACUGAGAAAUGUUGGCAUCUUGUAACCUCUCUGAAGUGAUUUUAGUUAUCCUGAAGGCAGAUAAUUUUAAUUAGAAUGUAAUAUUGCAUUAUAAGAAAUAUUACAUUGAAUCCUUAAACAAACCUGUUUCCCUGCUGACCUAUCAUCUUCUCACUGAUGUAUUCUUACAGUUUUUCCACUGGAGGUCCUGGUUUUCAGUAUGAUCCCAGUAGGAAAAGGACUCAGACUCUGCCAAGUAUCUCUUAAAACACUUUUCAUUUACACUAACACAAGAAAGAGAGGAUGGUACAGAUAAUUUUACAUCCCCUUAGAUGCUGGGAGCGCUGAGCUGCACAGCAUCAACAGACCUCUGAUCAGGACACAGCACACUGUGCAGAUCCCAUCCAAGGAAAGAUCAUACAGCAUUUUGGCCUUUGAGCUCUUGCAGGAUUUUCUCAAAAGGAAACAACUCCAUUCAUCAUUUUUACUGUUAAACA